AGCCAAUAGAUACCCAGGUAGUCCACGCCGUAAACUAUGGAUGCUAGCUGUUAGAGGUAUCGACCCCUCUAGUAGCGAAAGCUAACGCGUUAAGCAUCCCGCCUGUGGAGUACGGUCGCAAGACUAAAACAUAAAGGAAUUGACGGGGACCCGCACAAGCGGUGGAGCGUGUUGUUUAAUUCGAUGGUAAGCGAAGAACCUUACCCAGGCUUGACAUCCUUGGAAUUUUGGCGAAAGCCGAGAGUGCCUUCGGGAACCAAGUGACAGGUGUUGCAUGGCCGUCGUCAGCUCGUGUCGUGAGAUGUUUGGUUAAGUCCAUCAACGAGCGCAACCCUUAUAGUUAGUUGAAUUUUUCUAGCUAGACUGCCCUGGCAACAGGGAGGAAGGAGGGGAUGAUGUCAGGUCAGUAUUACCCUUACGUCUGGGGCUACAAACACGCUACAAUGGCCGGUACAAAGGGCAGCCAAGUCGCGAGACGGAGCAAAUCCCAUCAAAGCCGGUCUAAGUUCGGAUAGCAGGCUGAAACUCGCCUGCUUGAAGCU
rnacentral:rRNA from 1 species